UACGAAGGGGGCUAGCGUUGCUCGGAAUCACUGGGCGUAAAGCGCACGUAGGCGGAUUGCUAAGUCAGGGGUGAAAUCCUGGAGCUCAACUCCAGAACUGCCUUUGAUACUGGCGAUCUCGAGUCCGGGAGAGGUGAGUGGAACUGCGAGUGUAGAGGUGAAAUUCGUAGAUAUUCGCAAGAACACCUAUGGCGAAGGCAGCUCUCUGGGACGGUACUGACGCUGAGACGCGAAAGCGUGGGGAGCGAACAGG
rnacentral:rRNA from 1 species